ACUCAAUGUAAUAAAACUUAGUUAAGAGAAAAAGAGUGCAACUUGAACAAAUCUCCCCCUUAACAUGUAACCUUUAUGUGUGACAAUCUUUAACAUGUAACCUUUAUGUGUCCAUCUUCCUUCCUUGAAAGUUUAUCAUAGCUUUUGUAGCUAAUGAUUUGUCGUUUGAUCAUUUAAUGUGCAAUCCUCUAUGUUGAGCAAUAUUGUACAAUCUUCUAAUGAGACUUUGGUCUCUCCUUUCAAAACAUAUCAUAUGUCCACGAUUGUGUUUUGUUACAUUUCUCCAACUCUCCGACUCUAUCGCAGCUCCGUUUUUCGAGGACCGUCGAUCCCUUCGAAACCAGAUAAAUACUCUCACAGCUCUCUCUCAGCUCCUUCAAAUCCACUACUGUUGACGAACGUAGUUGUGAACUACCACAUGCGACAACAAUAUACUUCAACACCAUUGUGGUCGUUAAUUCUAUGUUUCAUUUGUUACAAUCUUUAGCUAUGCAAUAUUAGACUUCAUAAAGCGCGAGCUGAGUUGAAGGUUUCAACACCCCAAUAAAUCGUUUCCACCAUAUGAGCUUCAUGGGUUUUCUUGAGGCAUCUUGAGAGUGGAAUAAAGCUUAGAGACCAUUAGAUCAGGGGUGAAUUCACACAAGGGUUUGUUUUCCUAAAUUUAUUGGAUAGACAUUAUUGCCUAGUGGAGAUUGAUAUGAUCGGAUAGUUGCGCUGGCGGCACGAUGAUACUCCAGUGACCCGUCAGUGAUCCAAAUAUGCCGUUCUAUGGUUGACUGAUAAUAAUGUGUAUUAUAUCCAAAAAUCAUGAUUUAUGAAGUUAUGCUCUCAGUGACAAGGUGUUUCUCUAAUUAGACCAUGUGUAGUGGUGAACAAACAUAAUGCCCCUACCAUGGGGCAUUAUCCGACACGUGGCAUCCUAGUCAUCGUUGGGCAUUAUAGCAAAAGUGGCGUAGUGGGGCAUUAUGCCAAUAACCCCCAUUCAAUCAAUAAACAAUUAUUUUUUAUAGAGAAAAGAAAAAAAAUGGCACCUUUACACUUGGUUAACUCCCAUUGGCCACCUUUACACUUGCAUUUGACCACUUUAGCGUUAUUUUAAAAACGCCGGCCACAUCCAAAUUCAAUUAUAACGCCGGAUAACGCCCCAUGUAAUGGGGGUGGCGGCGUUUUGGGGCCUUUUUUCCAAUUUUUUUUUAAAAAUCACGCCCCACUACGGGUGGUCUUAUAAAGCUCUAAGUGACAAGGUGUUUCUCUAAUUAUAGACAGAAAAAAAGUAAACUUUUCACCAUCUGGAUGUUACAAAGUAGUUCAAUUUGAUCUCAAAAGUCAAUACUGGAAGCAUGAAUACAAUGGAAAUGUAACUGACUUCACAAUUUCAAGUUGCAUUUCAAAGAAAUUAGACUCAUAGUCAUGUUAGCAACUUGGUCACCUACAGACUUUAUUCAUCAUUUUUCUAAGACCAAUCAAACCCUUUUUCUUCCCUUUU